rnacentral:rRNA from 1 species
AGCGAACGCUGGCGGCGCGCUUCAAACAUGCAAGUCGAACGUGAAGCCCGGAGCUUGCUCUGGGUGGAAAGUGGCGAACGGGUGAGGAACACGUGAGGAACCUGCCCCGAAGACCGGGAUAACUCCGGGAAACCGGAGCUAAUACCGGAUGCCCUCACCGGACCGCAUGAUCCGGCGAGGAAAUGGAUUCCGCUUCGGGAUGGUCUCGCGCACUAUCAGCUUGUUGGUGAGGUAACGGCUCACCAAGGCGACGACGGUUAGCUGGUCUGAGAGGAUGUCCAGCCACACUGGGACUGAGACACGGCCCAGACUCCUACGGGAGGCAGCAGUUAGGAAUCUUGCGCAAUGAGCGAAAGCUUGACGCAGCGACGCCGCGUGCGGGAUGACGGCCCUCGGGUUGUAAACCGCUUUCAGCAGGGACGAAAUUGACGGUACCUGCAGAAGAAGCCCCGGCCAACUACGUGCCAGCAGCCGCGGUAAUACGUAGGGGGCAAGCGUUGUCC